UUUGGACCGAAAAUCGACGAUUUUCCGAAAAUUACUGUAUAAACAUGGCUUGCACGAAUUCUGAUGGUUACAUUCGAGAAAGUACUGAUUAAUUCGGAUUCAUUGCAUUUGGACCGAAAAUCGACGAUUUUCCGAAAAAGAAAAACACUCUAUAAACAUGGCUUGCACGAAUUCU